GAAGCUAUGAAGAAAAGUAACAUGUAAGAAGACCCCUUGUGGAUCUUCAAUGAGAUAUAAUUUGUUACGCUUGGCUUCUGAGCUUC